UCAUUAUGUCUCUCUUUCCUACAGAUUCU
rnacentral:piRNA from 1 species